GAAAAACUCCUAUACAGCUAAACCCACUCAGCUUCUGAUUUGUAAUGAUUAUAUAAAAUAAGAGAAUACAACUUACAAAAGUUGAUAUAAAGCUUAUAAUGUUUAUAGGGAUUAUGCUUCAAGCUCGAACUUUUUUAAAAUUAUGAGAUGGAUAUGGGAGUCCCGCUACAUCAGAGACAGUUUUUCAAGGGGUUUUCUUUGCUUUUACUCGAAGAUUUAAUUAGUGGAUCAAAUUAAAAUACACCAGUCAUGGUUAGCUCGGCCUCUGUUCAAGUCCUAAAUAGUCUAAGUAGUCAAAUGACAAAGGGGAAAGGGAGAGAGAUGAGAUAAGACACGGUUGAUUCAAACAGACAAGAUGGCUUCAAAAACCAACUCGGGCCUUCAAAGCAACCCAUACCCCUUCUUUCCAAGGUUCCACCAUUUAAAUAUGUGUUUGGCAACGGAUAGACCAUGUUUUUUUUUUAUAUAUAUAAAAAGUUUAAAAUAAUUUCUUUUAUUACUUAAAUGUUAAAAACAAUUCUGUACUUAACACAUUAAUGAUUCAGUUAAUCUGCCUGUAAAUGUUUUGUGCGUUAUACUAGCAUGUAAGAUUCAGAAAAAGAAGAGUAUUCUUUAAUUUCUCCCAAAUAAACCAUGAGAAAUAGCAGCAACAGCAGCAAGCAAAGAGAGAUAACAUACCUGUACACGUACCUAUAUUAGUAUGGUUAGAAGACAAGAAUAUGCCAAACUCCUACUUUUAUGACCUUCGACUCCUCUGCUUUACGUCUUUUAAACCCAUUAUAACUCCACCGUCACGCUGUUGUGCUUCUGUGGACAAGAUAUGUGGCUCGUUUGGAGCGCGUGUUGUCGGUUGCAGCAGCUGCGGUUACUGGUGGCGCGGUCGUGAUUCCGGCUUCUGGAAGGGAAGGAGGCUGGGUGAGACGUUUUGGUGGACAAUGAAAUGCUGAUGGCAGUUGCUAUCGUUGCUACUGGGGGGGCGCAGGAACACAAAAACUAUUAGUUAAAAAAUAAGCACCAUUGAAUAGAGAGCUCAUCGAGUUAUAAAUAUAGUUUUUAAAUUUAAUUUGGAGAUUAAUCGACACAAUAAUCAGCCUAGCAUACAAAAAUUUAAAAAUAAUGUACGCGAGGGUUUGAAAGUGUGAUAGCGGUUGCUUUUUAAAUAGUUUUUCGUGCUGAAAAACAUGCCAAUAAUAUUUUUUUAUUUUUUAAAAAUUAUUUUUGAUAUUAACGCAUCAAAACGAUUCAAAAAGUACAAACCGUAUUCAAUUUUAAUAAAAAAAAAUUAAAACUUUUUAAAAACAGGUUAGACCGUACUGCCAAACGGUAAUAAAAGACCUUCACGGGUUAAAAGAGUGGGAUAUAUGAAAAUUGCAAAUCACAAGAGAAGAAAGCGAGAACCUCCUAAGAUUUCUGGAAAAAAAUUCCGAGGAAAGACGUAUCGGACAGUGUCUAGAGCAAUCAAAUAAAAUAUGUACAUCAAGAUCAAUCCCUUAAUUAAUGAAUAUAAAUAUGAAAAAAACAAGGAAUUGAAAACAAAAUCAAACUUGAUAUAUUAUUAGAGUUAGAAAGGUUAUUAGAAUUCUGCAGAUGUGUAGCAAGUUGAUUCCAACUUUCCACAGUCUGAGACUUCAAAAACUUCCCUACGAGCACCUUAAAAUUAGUUGCUUCUAGUUAGCUUUUCCAAUGAAAUACAGAAGAAAUUUGGCAAGAACACCUUUACAAGCCAUGAAAUUGUAUCUUAUGAGCUUCCCAAUUACAUCAGUAGUAGUGUGAGAAUCAAGUGUGCAUUGAUAUUUAUGUAUUUUUCUUUCAGUUUUUUGAUAAUUACCGAAUUAAGAAAGGGUUUGUUACAUCUUUUACUAAUUUAUAAUAAUAUUUAAAUUAUUAAACUGGAGAUGUGUGGGGGCUCCAAAAACUUUUUGGCAGCAUGCGCUGCCAAAAUACAUGACCAUAUAGUAGCUUUCAAGGCGGCGAUGGAUUUAAUUGGUGCCUACCUGACCAGAUGCCACGUGUUUCUUCUCCACCUCUGAUUCACUGUAAACGGUGUUGCUUUUUUUCCCCCCUCUCUCUCUCAUCUAAGCUGGUAAAAUAACCCAAUCACAAAAUCCUAUAACAGAGAUGUAGCAAUCAAUCCCAUAAUUUAAACCGUUAAUUAAACUUCAAGAAUAAAAUCAAGUCAUGAUAGCAACACUCGCAUGGAAACAAUGGUUACAAAUCUGACUAUUUACAACUUCUAUGAAACCAACAUUCAAUCAUAUUAUUAGAAACUGAUUAUUUUGAAGCGCGGAUUUGUAAUCUGACUGAACUAGCAAUUAAUCCUGCAUUUCAAGAAUAAAAUCAAGUCAUGACAACAAUUCUCACAUGGAAAAAAUGUUUAGAAAUCUGACUAUUUACAACUUGCAUGCAGCAAAUAUUCAAUUAUAUUUUUAGAAACUGAUUUUUUAAGGCACUAAUUUGAAAUCGAACUAUCCCUUGAUAGGAUAAGUCCAAACUACAGCAAUGAGCAAAAUCAUUAAGGCACGAGACUAAAAUAAUAGGCAACCUCAAGGCAGGAUGCAUUCCAACAUAAAAUUACUACGGAAACAAAGGAUAAAUGAGAAAUUAGUGCUCAAUAGAAACAAAAUCUAUUCUCGAAGGUCAGAAACAUGUUGAAACAAGAAGGAAAAGGAAAGAGAAAAGCUAAGAUGCAGGGAGCGGGAGCGGGAUUGGCCUCACAGCACUUUGAAUUCGCCUAAAUGCUGUCCUAACUCGUUCCUUGAGACCUUCAUUCUCACUCUCAACAUCCCCACUCUGUUUGUCAAGCUCUGCCACAUUCUCAUCGACGCGUAUGACCAGCUUCCCGUUCUCUCCAAGUUUCACAUCUCCAAAAAGUGAAACAAGGAGGGCAUAAAUCACUUUCUCUGCUUUUUUCUCAUUUUCUUCCUCAGAUUUUAUGUCCUCUGACUCGACAAUUACCUUAGGAACCUCCCGGCUGAUGUUCAAAACCAAAGCUACAAUUGAAUCAGACACCAUAUCACUUAUGGGGUCAGCAGUCCAAUGAAGUGAAAUAUGUCUGUCAGAUUCUUGUUUCACUGUUACCAGCUCAUGCACUUGCAAUGUUGGAGACCCGGACUCCUCGUCAGUUCCAGACUCCACACUCUCAUAAAUCUGCUCAAGCCUGUGCUUUAUCACACCGAAUGCACCAGAAAAAGGAAUGGUAAUCCUCUGAGUAACAUUUCCAGUUGAUAGUUGUGAGAAGACAUGGAGAUCUCCAGGUGCCAUGAUUUGAUAAGUGAAGCCCUUCUUCACCAGUAUACCACUGACAGUUUCACCAACAUCCGGGGUCCUUUCAGCCAGCUUUCCAAUGGUUUUUGCCAUUUUUUCAGAGUUGAAAUACAUCUCAACAGACUGGCAAUUCUUUGGGGUGAUUAUCUUGGUGUUGCCAUCAGCAAACUCUGUAAUAAGUUUCUGUUUGAGCCUUCCCAUUUCAUUGGCUUCUCCAUGAACAAGAAUGAUGUUAGGAGGCAUGAGCUCUUUCAAAAAUGUACUUGUCUGAGCAUAAUCUGCAUGAGCAGAGAAUGAGAUGUAAUGGACCUGCAUGUUGAGUGGUGCAGUCAGUCCAUUCAUGAGCUGUACCUCCUUCGGUUCAUUAAUGAUUGUCUUAGCUAGGGUCCCUUCAACAACAUAUCCAGGUAAAACACAGGCAUUUUUCUUAUCAGAGCACCACAUAUCAAACAACUGCCUUGACAACCCGCUCUGCAGUCCUCCAGGGCUUGCCAUAACCACAGAUGGCCCUACAUCAGUAAAAUCUUCAAUGCUAUUUAACGGUGAUAUAUGCUUGAAUUUGAAGGGGUUUGAAUUCGCAAACUGAUUGCGGAUUCUUUCAUUCAUAGAAAGGAUGUAUGUCUGGUAAACAGUCAUACAUUUUUUUGCAAGGGGAGAAGCAUAAUAUAUUGGAAUGUUAUGAAGCUCAGGAUGGUUUGCCCAAUACUCAUCAAGGAUCAAAAGGAGUUCUUGAGCUCGGCCGAGGGCAAAUGCUGGAAUUAGGACACGACCACCUAGAGAGAUGGUGGAGUGGAUAACAUCAGUGAAGCGCUUCUCCCGAAGGUGUCGAGGUUGAUGGAGUUGGACACCAUAGGUAGAUUCAAUUAUGCAUAUGUCUGGAGAGAAUUGUGGCAUCUCAGCAGCACGAAGAUGCCGAUCUUCUUCACGCGAAUAGUCUCCAGUAUACAGCACUCGAACACCAGCGAUAUCUACCAUGAACAUGGCAGCCCCAAGGACAUGGCCAGCAGUGUAGCACCAAAAUUUAAUGCCAUUAACAUCCACAGUCUGAUGGAAGUCAAUAACCUGCAAUUACAAAAAUCAUUAAUGAAAUGAAGGAAUCUUCAGUUAAACAGAGGAUGACAAAGGAACAUUACAAGUAACCCCCAUAAUAUGGAAAAUAAGACCUCGCAAACACCAGCAGAUCUGCUUACACAGAAUGACAAAAAUGCAAGCACACGCACCCAACCUUGACAAAAGUGUCAGGUCAGGGAUUAGGAUUAACAGUCCAUGUAUGAAUAGAAAAACAUAUAAAGGAGAUAUCCUCAUGUUCCCUCUGCAAUCUCUCAAUGGUUUUGACCACUUGCACUCAUGGAUCGUGAUUUUGCUACAAGGAUGGAAAAAAAUCAAAAGAAAUCCUCGCUUUGAAUUGGCUCCAUAGGAUUGUAUUUUCAGAAUGCUACCAAAAAUUAAAUACCCACUUAUUUUUCUUAUUUCAUAAUUGCGAAAACACCUUUUAAUCAGCCCAAACAUUAACUCAUAUGGAUCGGUCACGGACAGAUUUAUCAACUUAAAAUGCCAAGCAUAAUGCUUACCAAAAAGAGAUGCUAUAUUGAGAAAAAGAUAAGCAACUCCCAUUUUAGAAGAAGCACCCUUUCUUCAAAGAAACAAGGGAAUAAAAUAUAUACAUUCUUCUUCUUUUGAAUUACUGUUAUCUUAUUACUAAUCACGCAAAUCUUACAUGCACAGGAAGAGAAAGAGUUAAAUGGCACUCGCCAUAAUAUGACUCAAACUGUCAUAGUUCAACAAAGAUGCAUGGCUGUCAACCUCAACUACUUUAAUAUGCUCUAUGAUUUUAUCAGGCAAUAGAGUAUUCCAAAUGCAACUUAAGUGUGGAAUGAACUUAGAUUGAUCAGUACUGGGAGAAGAAAGGCAUAACUUAAUUAUCAGGUGCACAUAAAUUGGUCCUAAGUUUCCAUGCGAAACAUGCGAGCCUCAAAUGAGAAGCCAACAACUAACAAUGCCAAACUCAAACAGACUGAAAGCUAAGAAAUCCAUAGAAAGCAAAAUUCAGAACACCAAAUGCAAGAUUGAAACACUUUAAAUUCCAGAAGAUGCAGACCUUUCAUCUAGAGCAACUAAUUCAACUUAGCUGGAAAAAGAAAAGGAGAUAAUGAAUGGUCUUCAAGACCGAGUACCCAACCGGAUGGAUAGGAGGUGAUAAAGAAGACUAACCAAUAAGCUGAAUUCCUGAUCCCCUCACUUUGGGACCACAACAUAAUGCCAAGCUAAAUAUAAUAAACAAAAAUAUUUCCAAGCUAUUGCUUAGAUGGAAGGUAGACGAAGUAGAUCAAGUUUCUGGAAGAACAAAAAGGUUGAGGAUAGAUGUAAACAAAAGAAUGCAAAAAUUCAUAAACACAAACCUCGAUUUUAUCCAUUGAGCGGUUUAUGUCUUUCUCAUCAAACAACAUAUCUUCCACUGAAACUUUGCUCACUUUUACAUAAUCAGUCAAAAGCAACUUGUAGAUAGCCUUUGUCGCAUGAGUCAUGAAAACUCGACCUCUGAAUGUGGUCUGAUAAAGAGUGAACAUGUUAGAUUGAUCCUAGUGAAAGAUACACACAAUAACUUUGUAGAAAUCAGUAAAAAAAACAAACCUUCUCAAGAAAAUAAGGUAGGGAUGCAGCAUGAUCCAAGUGAAAGCUGCAAGCAGAAACCAUCACUCCCAAUGAAUGAUGAGAGAAUACUAGCGAGGCCUAAAAAUUUUGGUUGAAAAAGUAAUGAUAGAUAACAAAAACUAAAUUGAACAAAUAUAGAAAACAAGGUAUUGCUUUUAUUUGUUUAAAAAAAUUCCAAGAGGCCCUUAUGACUUCAUGAAUGUAUCAGAAAGAAUUCUCAAUCAUUAUGAACAAUUAGAAAGGAAAAAUAAAUAAAAAACAAUAAAAACUAAGUAGAGUUUCCUGACACCUUAACUGAAAUUUCAGCAAAUGGAGCAUAUUUAUUUCCCAAACAAUGUGAUCAAAUGAUUUUUCAAUAUUUUCAUUUUUUGAAUAAUUGCAUGAUAUGCAAUCACACUAAUAUUCAAUAUAAUUAAUUAGUAUUAGUAGAAAAAAUCAAUAUUCUUUUAGUGUUUUCCUUUCUUGUUGAACAGUAUGAUAUUUAAUCACAUUAAAAAAAUUAUUAUAACAUAGUGUUGACAAUCAAGAUUUUCCUAAAUGAUUUCACCUGGAAAAUGGAUUGCUUUAACUCCCCAAUCACAUGCACUCUCAGCACUGUUCUAUUGUGGUUCCCAUCAUAAGCAAAUAAACCUCACGAGCACAAACCUAUUUCUUAGAAGAUCACUAGUCUUCUUGCAACAAGGAACAUGUGAAUAAUUAAAAUAUAGAUAUUACAAGUCGAUGACACUUCAAAUUCCAUCAACACUUUAUCAGACAUCUCAUUGCAUCUCAUUACAUCUAUACUUCUCUACAGCUACAUAGAUCCAGUUAAGAGUUAAAAAGUUCCCAGCACACAUCAAGAAUACUACUGAUAACUUUUUAUAGAGGUAAGAAAGUUCAGCCUGCCCUCUCGUUGACAAAUCAUCAAGUUUAAGUUUCACUGUUCCAGUUUAUAUUAUUGUCAAGUGCUGCAUUAUAACAGACUUGCUAACUUCUACUGAUGAGGGAACUAAGAAUAGAACCUAGCCACUGCGUAUCAAAUGACCCUAAUAAUGCAAGUUCAAGCACCUAAGGAACUGCAUCAUGUGUUUUUUCUCAAAAUAUUAAAACUCCUUCCCAAUAUGUAUUGUCACACAAUAAAAUCUUCCCAAAUAUUAGCCCAAAAUACCCUAACACUAACUUUCUCAAUAAUUGCAUAUCUGACUUCUGAGCUGAGUGUUCUCUAAUUCUGAAACAAUUUCAUAUUCUUCCUUGACAAGAAAGUAUAGGAGAUAUCUCUUUUGACAAGAAAAUAUAGCUGAAGUUUCAUGCAAUCUUACUACAUCAUCAUAGGAGAUAUCUCUUUUGACAAGAAAAUGAACAAACAAGAAAGCAAGCAAGGUCAAAUCAAAGGAGCAUUCAGUGAGAGAAAAAGCUCGCAUUUAUGAAACUAAUAGUGAGAAACAAAAUAUUGCCUCAUGGAAUGGAAAAUCAAUAUACAUAUAUACAAUAGCCAAGCAAGGAGAAUUAGCAAGAGAAGGUGAAGAAAUACAUACUGUGUAACGAGAAGUACAUCAAUAGUGGAGGGGUCAAUCUCAUCGAAGUAAGGUAAAGCAGCCAUACCCGAAUAAGCCGGAUGAAUUCCACAAUCAAACUAACAUUGGCAUAAUUCGAUAACAAAAACAUAAAUUAAUAAACAAAAUACAUUCAUUGAAUUUGAUCCAACAUGAUCAGGAAUUACCAAUAGUAAAUUAGUAUAAAAUGGCAUAAUUGAAAAACAACAAAAUGCAUAGAGUGAAGGAGGGAGGGAAGCAAUACCAAUACAGUCUUGCCUUUAAAUGACAUGUAAACACAGGAUCGACCCACUUCAUUUCCAGCACCUAAAGGGGUUAGAGUUAGCUGAUCCCCUCCUUCUCUUGUUACCGGUGCAUCCCUUCUUUUUAGUGACUGUGAUUGCCCUGUUGAUGCCAUUCUUGUGUUCUUCAGCAGCCCAAAAUCCAAACUGUGUUUAUGUCUCUGUAGAAAAACUCCUAUACAGCUAAACCCACUCAGCUUCUGAUUUGUAAUGAUUAUAUAAAAUAAAAGAAUACAACUUACAAAAGUUGACAUAAAGCUUAUAAUGUUUAUAGCCAUUAUGCUUCAAGCUCGAACUUUUUAAAAUUAUAAGGUGGAAAUGGGAGUUCCGCUACAUCAGAGACAUUGUUUCAAGGGGUUUUCUUUGCUUUUACUUGAAGAUUUAAU
rnacentral:lncRNA from 1 species